rnacentral:rRNA from 1 species
UACAGAGGGUGCGAGCGUUAAUCGGAAUUACUGGGCGUAAAGCGCGCGUAGGCGGUUUUGCAAGUCGGGUGUGAAAUCCCAGGCUUAACCUGGGAACUGCAUUCGAGACUGCAUUACUAGAGUAUGGGAGAGGGAAGUGGAAUUUCCGGUGUAGCGGUGAAAUGCGUAGAUAUCGGAAGGAACAUCAGUGGCGAAAGCGACUUCCUGGACCAAUACUGACGCUCAUGUGCGAAAGCGUGGGGAGCAAACAGG